rnacentral:misc_RNA from 1 species
AAAAGAAGCCACGCACUGGUGGGACAGGUGGUAAGAGAAAUUUGCCGGAGUCACCUAGAGAGGAUUUAGUGGUUGCUGAAGCUGCUAGUGACCGUGGCUCAGGAUCAGUUUCAAGGUCAGGUUCAGGGUCAGGGUCAAGUCGGUUUGAUAAUGGAGAUGAUAUGCCAGCACCGUCCAUAAGAUCUUAUGAAUCACCUAGGAGGGCAAUGGAGCGACGAGUAAUAGCUUGUAUAGAAGCACAAUUAGGAGAACCUUUACGUGAUGAUGGUCCUAUUAUUGGGGUGGAGUUUGAUGAGCUUCCACCUGGUGCAUUUGGGAUACCUAUUGAUUUGGAAGAACGUACGGACCAUUACAGACAAUCUUUUGACUGCAAAUUGUAUGGACAAUAUGAUGCUAAAGUUAAUGUUGGAUCAGCUCUCUCUCUUUCUCCGGUUCUGACAAAUGGUCAUCGUGAACCUGCUGAGCCCAAGAUUGUAUCUGAUAAAUAUGGACAAAUUGCAGCCCCUUACCCUUAUGAUUCGUCUGUUGACUGUCCUUCUAAAAACAUGGCAACCAUGCAACGCAAUGGACAUUUUGUUAGGGAAUAUGGUGUUGAAGGUCAAAGCAUUGGUAUGAUGUCUCAGCAGAGCAGGCAGAGACGCUUUCUAUCCCCUUCGCGGGAUAAUGAAUUCGUCCCUGGUAAUGAGGACAUGUUGCAAUUGGAUCGGAAGCGCAAGAGUGAAGAAUUUGGAAUGGGAAGAGAAGUUCAAGUCAAUGAAAAACGGAUGCGGAAAGAACUUGAGAAACAAGAUCUUCUACGGCGGAAAAUGGAAGAACAAAUGAAAAAGGACAUGGAGAAACAG